rnacentral:rRNA from 2 species
AUGGGUGGAUUAGUGGCGAACGGGUGAGUAACACGUGAGUAACCUGCCCUUGACUCUGGGAUAAGCCUGGGAAACUGGGUCUAAUACCGGAUAGGAACGUCCACCGCAGGUGGUUGUUGGAAAGAUUUAUCGGUCAUGGAUGGACUCGCGGCCUAUCAGCUUGUUGGUGAGGUAAUGGCUCACCAAGGCGACGACGGGUAGCCGGCCUGAGAGGGUGACCGGCCACACUGGGACUGAGACACGGCCCAGACUCCUACGGGAGGCAGCAGUGGGGAAUAUUGCACAAUGGGCGAAAGCCUGAUGCAGCGACGCCGCGUGAGGGAUGACGGCCUUCGGGUUGUAAACCUCUUUCAGUAGGGAAGAAGCGAAAGUGACGGUACCUGCAGAAGAAGCACCGGCUAACUACGUGCCAGCAGCCGCGGUAAUACGUAGGGUGCGAGCGUUAUCCGGAAUUAUUGGGCGUAAAGAGCUCGUAGGCGGUUUGUCGCGUCUGUCGUGAAAGUCCGGGGCUUAACCCCGGAUCUGCGGUGGGUACGGGCAGACUAGAGUGCAGUAGGGGAGACUGGAAUUCCUGGUGUAGCGGUGGAAUGCGCAGAUAUCAGGAGGAACACCGAUGGCGAAGGCAGGUCUCUGGGCUGUAACUGACGCUGAGGAGCGAAAGCAUGGGGAGCGAACAGGAUUAGAUACCCUGGUAGUCCAUGCCGUAAACGUUGGGCACUAGGUGUGGGGACCAUUCCACGGUUUCCGCGCCGCAGCUACGCAUAAGUGCCCCGCCCGGGGAGUACGGCCGCAAGGCUAAACUCAAGGAAUUGACGGGGCCCGCA